AAAUUGAAGAGUUUGAUCAUGGCUCAGAUUGAACGCUGGCGGCAGGCCUAACACAUGCAAGUCGAACGGUAGCACAGAGAGCUUGCUCUCGGGUGACGAGUGGCGGACGGGUGAGUAAUGUCUGGGAAACUGCCCGAUGGAGGGGGAUAACUACUGGAAACGGUAGCUAAUACCGCAUAACGUCGCAAGACCAAAGUGGGGGACCUUCGGGCCUCACACCAUCGGAUGUGCCCAGAUGGGAUUAGCUAGUAGGUGGGGUAACGGCUCACCUAGGCGACGAUCCCUAGCUGGUCUGAGAGGAUGACCAGCCACACUGGAACUGAGACACGGUCCAGAC
rnacentral:rRNA from 1 species